rnacentral:rRNA from 1 species
CACGUAGGGCGCAAGCGUUGUCCGGAAUUAUUGGGCGUAAAGAGCUCGUAGGCGGUCUGUCGCGUCUGCUGUGAAAACGCGGGGCUCAACCCCGCGCCUGCAGUGGGUACGGGCAGACUAGAGUGCGGUAGGGGAGACUGGAAUUCCUGGUGUAGCGGUGGAAUGCGCAGAUAUCAGGAGGAACACCGGUGGCGAAGGCGGGUCUCUGGGCCGUUACUGACGCUGAGGAGCGAAAGCAUGGGGAGCGAACAGG